rnacentral:snoRNA from 1 species
AUGAUGGCGGGGGCACGGGCACCUUCCGUGCGGCGCCGCCUUCGCAAAGAGGGGAUAGAUCGACGCGUCAAGAAAUCGUUUCAGUUGCCAUGGCUCCAGUUGGCAAUAUGAUUGUUGCUUGACCACAG